UACGUAGGGGGGCUAGCGUUGUCCGGAUUUAUUGGGCGUAAAGAGCGUGUAGGCGGCCCGGUAAGUCCGCUGUAAAAAGUCAAAGGCUCAACCUUUGAAUGUCAGUGGAUACUGCCGGGCUAGAGUCCGGAAGAGGCGAGUGGAACUCCUGGUGUAGCGGUGGAAUGCGCAGAUAUCAGGAAGAACACCAACGGCGAAGGCAGCUCGCUGGGACGGUACUGACGCUGAGACGCGAAAAGCGUGGGGAGCGAACAGG
rnacentral:rRNA from 1 species